AUUGAACGCUGGCGGCAGGCCUAACACAUGCAAGUCGAGCGGCAGCGGGAAAGUAGCUUGCUACUUUUGCCGGCGAGCGGCGGACGGGUGAGUAAUGCCUGGGAAAUUGCCCAGUCGAGGGGGAUAACAGUUGGAAACGACUGCUAAUACCGCAUACGCCCUACGGGGGAAAGCAGGGGACCUUCGGGCCUUGCGCGAUUGGAUAUGCCCAGGUGGGAUUAGCUAGUUGGUGAGGUAAUGGCUCACCAAGGCGACGAUCCCUAGCUGGUCUGAGAGGAUGAUCAGCCACACUGGAACUGAGACACGGUCCAGAUUCCUACGGGAGGCAGCAGUGGGGAAUAUUGCACAAUGGGGGAAACCCUGAUGCAGCCAUGCCGCGUGUGUGAAGAAGGCCUUCGGGUUGUAAGCACUUUCAGCGAGGAGGAAAGGUUGAUGCCUAAUACGUAUCAACUGUGACGUUACUCGCAGAAGAAGCACCGGCUAACUCCGUGCCAGCAGCCGCCGUAAGAC
rnacentral:rRNA from 1 species